CACCAGGGCCGGGGUUGGACUCCUUGCCCUGGCUCCACGUAUUUUAACAUCCCCUCGGGUGUGUGCCCACCCACCCACCCACCCAGUGAAAGUCCCACAGAGGCGCAACAGGUCACAUCUACGUGGCCUUCCCUUGACUGUGUCGCCACUGCCUGACUGGGUGGCAGGCACUGCUGUGCCUGCAAGGAUGUGGGGCCGUACCUUGGAAGCACCCGGCUACUCCCCAUGACACCCCGGACAGGAAGCGUCGGCCAUGCUAGGGCCCACUCUUGCAUUUGCUGGAUGCCAAAACCCACCUCCCCCCUCCACCCCUCACCCUGCUAUUCCCCCAAAGCGCCAAAGCUAGGUCCCCAGGGAUUCCACACCUCCACAUCUCAUGGGGGGGGGGAGGGGGGCAGGCACAUCCAGUGAAGGUGGUUGAGGUUUUAUCUUUGGUGCCUGUCUGCUGGUCUCUGCCUGUAGAUGGUGACAUUAGAGGCUGGGGUCUCUCUGUGGCUUCCCGAAGGUCAACUGUUGGACUUCAAAGGCAGGGCCUCCUGAACCCGUGGAGGCAGUGGGACAGUAGCACUGAGACCGGGCUGGGGAGCGAACCAAGAGGAAGGGGGGGGGGGGGCCGGGGGAAACGCAGUCUCCAGUUUGGGAGGCAGAACUAAAACCGAAAAGGCGCUUGUGGUCUCAGAGGUCAGGGAUGGCAGUAGCCGGGUCCCUGAGGCCUCAGAGAGCCACACUCCCGGUGCGGUUCCGCUGCCAGCCCCCUCUGUGAUGUGCUCCAACUGUACUUUGAGUCUCUGGAGUUUCCUUCCCACAGGAGGGAAGAGAAACAAGGACCUUUCCCUGGCGUUCUUCUCUGCACCCACCCGCAGCCCCAACAACCUGGCUGUGUCCCCAGGAUGAAGCCCGUUUUCUCCUGGAUGGGUGCUCUCUGACAGGCCCUCAGUGUCUCCCUCUUCAGGCCCUGCCAAUUUCGCCUUAAGGGCCCAGCGCUAAGUCAGCCAGCUGGUCAGAACCCACAGGCCAGCUGCCUGUGUAAGUAAGGACGUGAAUUUGUGCGCCCGACCGACUGUGACGACAGCUGCCCCCGUCUCACUCCACCCCUACUCCCACUCUUCUGCGCCCCGACUCUGACUCUUAAGUCUGCGUUUUGCCGCCACACUCCGCCCCACCCCCCGCUCGCCCCCGCCCCUUUCUGCAUACAGGUGGAGACCCCAGCGGUCCGGUCGGUCCGUGGCCAGAAAGCGGGUAAGAUAGAAAUAUUUCAUCCAUCUCCCUCUCCCUCCGUCCGAUGUAGCGGGAGAAUCGGUACGGGUGGAUUUACCACCGGUGCACAGAGCGUGAGUAAUCACUGCUCUCUCAGCGGGAGCGCCCCCAGCCCCGCCAUCCGUGGCUACAAGAACAGGUGCGAAGGCACGGGAAAACGGAAGUGUACCCGGACCACGGCCCUGUCCUCGGACUGACAAGAAACCUGAAGGGGCCGCUGAAGUUCUCGUCGCGACUGGCAAGGCCCAUGAGAGGGGCCCUGCUGCAUUUCGUUUCUGCCAGUGUCAGCUUCGAUGCAAGCGCACAAUUGGCGAUGGCUUGGAAAACCUCAGAGUGACAGUUCUGUCCCACAAGUAGAUUAAGCUGGUCGGGGAAGAGGGUUUUCUGUCUCCGUAGAGCUGUAUAUUUAUAGACCCUAUGAGAAACAGGGAAGGAGGAGACAGAGAGACUGCAACUGGGAGCGACCGACGCAGCGACCGUCCUCGGAGGCAAGGCAGGAGAUCGAGGAGGGGGAGUUUUCAUGAAGGACGCCAUGGUUGUUCCCGACCCGUGUGACGACCUGUACGCUUGUCAGCCUCGAGGGCUUGCCGAGGGCAGAACCUCUUUGCCCACGCGUUUGUCUGGAGCGGGAGCAGUGGGCGAAUAAAAGUGGGGAAGGGCGCGGGACGGCGUGGGGCUGAGACAAGGCAGGAGCGGCGGGGACGUGGAGCGUCCACGGGCACGUGCAGGUAAACUGCGGGAAGAAGGCGCAGGUGUGUUCCCUGGCGGCAGCACACGAGCAGACGUAGGCAGGUGUUCCGUAAAGGUUUUACUUACUGACUUUGGCCUGUGGGAGAGGGGCUGCCGCGAGGCUGCAGGUGCCCCGGGCGGGGCAGAGUUGGGGCGGGGCGCUGGGGGGCGGUGCCCCCCGCCCCGUGGCGCAAAAGCGUCAGGCACUUCCUUCGAGCCGGAAUCGAACCAGCGACCUAAGGAUGCCCACACGUAUCCAGCCUACAGUCCUCCGCUCUACCAGCUGAGCUAUCGAAGGGUGCACGCUGACAGGCCCGGGUCAUUGCUUCUUCUUGAAAUGACGGAGGCCACCACACUGGCAAGCCGGAGGUCCGGCAUGCCUUGGCGUGGUUGGAAGGCUCUUUAGAAAAAAGAGCAGGGCCGACGCCGCCCCAGCGCCCCUUUCCGGGCAGAGGGAGCAUAUCCCCUGCGUUUGGCGGCUGCCCGGCCGGUGGCCCCAGCCUCCCGGGUCGCGAUUGUCAAGAUGCCUGGGCCGGGGCUCUCGCCUGUUGCGUUUCCCCUCCCGGCGCUCCUUUCUACAGGUGGGGACUACAGCGGUCCGUGGCGGCAGUGGCGAGGAGGGGCGUCGGUGAAGCUGGCGUGUUGGUUGUGCGGGGGUGGCCUCGCGGAGGAGCAGAGGAGAACCCACUGGGAUGGGCACUAGAGUGUUACAAUGAUCUGCGCAGAGCGGAGUGGUCUCUGGAGAUGCCUGAUGAUCUGUUCUGAGGAGCAGCCAGCAGCAUGAUGGACCCGGCCAGGGACCACUUACACCUGAGACGGACUAGAGAAAAGCACUCCCAGAGAUGGAAGUCCAAGUCAAGAGCGUCACCUGUACCCAAGGAGACGGUGGCGGCAGCAGCAAGUACCUGUGGUCGAUUUCCAGGCGGAACUGAGACAGGUAUUCUCAGCCGGGAUGCCAAGAAGUGGUUAAAGUGGUAUUGGAACAUCUAGGUAGCUGAUUUCCAAGUGAAGUAAAAGUAUUAUCCGUGGGGGGCGGGGGUGGUGAUGGUGUGGGACCUCUUACAAUGAUCUACAAGACCCUCAUGAUCUUAUCUCCAACCUAGUCACCUCUCUGACCUAAUUUUGUACAACUCUUCAGUUUUGCGCUGGACGCAGGGCCUCCUUGCUAUUCUCCACACACAGUCCUACCUGGGCCUUUGCGCUAGCCGACCUUUGUGCCGGGGAUGCUUCCUCCCCCGCCCCCUCCGUGAUUGACACCCUCACCUCCUUCAAGUCUUUGCUUGAAGCAUAGCACCUUCUCGUGUAUAACCUCUUCUGAGCACCCACUAACAGCUAACACACUAAUUAAUUUACGUAUUGUGUCCAUUGUUGAUUUUCUCCCACUCCCUCUGCCCCUUCUACAAAAAAAACAUGAACGCCAAGAGGCCUUUUUGUUACCAGUUCCUCAAAGUGUCUGGCACAACAACAAACAGUUGUUGAACGGGCAAACAAUGUCGUCAAAGAGAACAGAAUAUAAAAGGAGGGUCCAGGAGCCAGGGUUCAGCCAGGGGGAAGUGCCGGGUUAUCUUGUUUCAUCACCAGAGACUUUCUUAGGCUGAGAGCUGCAGAACUCUGAACACAUAAGGACUGUUCCUGCACUGAGACUGUUUCCUGCACUGAGACUUGACCAGACUCUAGCAUAGCUUCUGGCAGCACAAGGUUCUGUCCCUAAGUUUGACUUCCAGCCUGAGGAAGUUAAACACCUGACACAGGCCCCCAACCUGUGUUGUAAAUAGGGCAUUUAUUAAAAAGGGCUUGCGAUUGCGAAUGUGGAUCUCUUACAACUCUGAAGGGUCCCUCCCAUCUCAAGGACUUUGAAAUGUGAUGGGGAAGGAAGUAGGGCCUAUCUCCCAGUCUGUGGGAGGAGAGCAUCCUCAGUUCAGUAACUGCCAGCUAACAAACACAACCGCCUCACAGCAGUUACACCGAACUACCCUUUGUAACCUUUCACUUCUCUGACUGGACUGAGCCCGCUUCCUCUCAUUCUUCCGGGAAAACGCCCAAAUCACCUCCGCACAAAUCGGAUUGGAGCUCAGCUCUUUCCCCUACUGUCAGUAGUCACUGAAUGACAUCUUUUUUCACCACUUUACUUACUGUCUGCUGCGUUUACCUUUGACGGAGUCCAAGUCAGAAAGGACCAGAGGGCACUUGGUGGGGCCACCCUGUGUGCGUGGUGGGGUGGUAGAGGGGGAAAGGGCUGAAGGGCACCUGACCCUGGCUGCCCGGGGUUUCGGGCGACACGACUGGCUGCGGUUGAAGGGCACUGUUUAGCGUUUUACUUAGUUUUUCGUUCUUCAACACUUAGAAUCCUGGUUUUUCUUCUAGCGUUACUAGGUCAGGCUACUGCAGGUUACUGAAGCCCUUUUAUUCAGAAAGUCGCCAUGGCUAAACAUUGCCACGACUUCUUACUAGGGCAGCUGAGCACUUAACGUCAAGCGGCAGAAAGACCUUUCCUGAGUUUUCGAUUAUAUUUGAAAAUGAGUUUCAAACAAGCGAGGACAAAAAUGGGCCGAAAGUUUCUUUUUGUUGAAAGGCAGGUUGACACCACAUCCGAGCCCGGACCCGCCACCACUCCCGCUGGGCGCCGGGCGACCCCCGCCUUCUCGAGUCUCGCUGCUAGGUCCCGGACCCCUCGCCUCGUGCCCACCUGCGCCCGCUCCCCCCCCCCCCCCCCCCCCGGCAUCGGCGGGUCUGCCCGGCCACUAGCACAUCCGUUGUCCCAGAGCCGGAGACCGGAUGCGGGGGACGUCAUGGCAAGGCGUGGCGUAUGUAGAUGAGCAUGCGCGCAUUGGCUGCCGGUCCCGGACAGCCUGGGCGCGCACGUCCCGCGUGGGCGCACGGCAAAGGCGCCCGCGGUUGUUUUGCCGACGAGCGAGGUUGAGGCGGGGGGCGUGCAGGGAGCGCGGGGUGCGGAGGCGGCGUGGGGGAAGUGACCGUGUGUGUGAAGUGCGGCGAGCGCGAGGGUGUGGGUCGAGGCGGGGCGAGCAACUCAUACUUACCUGGCAGGGGAGAUACCAUGAUCAAGAAGGUGGUUUUCCCAGGGCGAGGCUUAUCCAUUGCACUCCGGAUGUGCUGACCCCUGCGAUUUCCCCAAAUGUGGGAAACUCGACUGCAUAAUUUGUGGUAGUGGGGGACUGCGUUCGCGCUUUCCCCUGG